GCUACCCGCUGACGAGCGGCGGACGGGUGAGUAAUGCUUAGGAAUCUGCCCAGUAGUGGGGGAUAGCCCGGGGAAACCCGGAUUAAUACCGCAUACGUCCUACGGGAGAAAGCAGGGGAUCUUCGGACCUUGCGCUAUUGGAUGAGCCUAAGUCGGAUUAGCUAGUUGGUGGGGUAAAGGCCUACCAAGGCGACGAUCCGUAGCUGGUCUGAGAGGAUGAUCAGCCACAUCGGGACUGAGACACGGCCCGAACUCCUACGGGAGGCAGCAGUGGGGAAUAUUGGACAAUGGGGGCAACCCUGAUCCAGCCAUGCCGCGUGUGUGAAGAAGGCUUUCGGGUUGUAAAGCACUUUCAGUAGGGAGGAAAACCUUAUGGCUAAUACCCAUGAGGCUUGACGUUACCUACAGAAGAAGCACCGGCUAACUCCGUGCCAGCAGCCGCGGUAAUACGGAGGGUGCAAGCGUUAAUCGGAAUUACUGGGCGUAAAGCGCGCGUAGGUGGUUUGGUAAGCGAGAUGUGAAAGCCCCGGGCUUAACCUGGGAACGGCAUUUCGAACUGUCAGACUAGAGUGUGGUAGAGGGUAGUGGAAUUUCCUGUGU
rnacentral:rRNA from 2 species